UGUGAUGAACAUCUGAAAAAUGUCAUGAUGCACAGGCUUUUUUUGUCCGCUAGAGUGACUUUUUAGUUAUUGUUUGGAAAUAUAAUUAGGAGUUAAUAUUAUGUGGAAUAGAUUUUACUUUUUAUAAGAUGCGCACUGAAGGUUCGGAAGACGGAAAUUGAAUUGUUGAGUGUAAUGGGAAAGAUAUCAUGGGUUGACUUGGACCUCAAUGAGAACUCUUAACUUCCUUUUUGAGGAGCUCAAAUUGAAGUAUCAAGUAUGCCUUAAACCGAUUAGUGUUUCGUGAUGAAUUAACUUUCUCAUUCAUAAUGUACAUAUUUAUUAGUCAUAUCCCUUACUGAAGACGAACUUAGAGCUCAAAGAAAUUAUUACUGGAUCAGUUUCAUCAGAUUCUUUUAUUUAUGGGAAGAUACUCACAUCAUACAUUAACAUGUAUCGCCAUCGGAGAGAAUCGUCUCAUGAAGAACCCCCCCACCUACUAUGUACAAGAUCUACUACUCAUCAAUCUCCAAUGAUAAUAAAUAAAUAUAUCGACAUUUUAUCAAGUUCAAUUUAUUCAUUAAGUGGCUUUGGUUAACUACUAAUGCUGUUUUCAUUUAGUUUUUAUUAGCUUGGAUAUCUCAAGCAUCACUAUUUAGUAUUUACUUGAUCUAUUAUGAAUAUAUACAUAUUAAAACAUUAUAUAAUCAAAUGUAUGACGAGCUACUGGUAUAGUAUGCUUAAUAUGUAGUCUGUAAGGGAUACUUUGAGUACACCUUUAAUCAAAUUCCUGAAGCACAACGUGGAAAAAGAACUAAUAAUUUUGAUCCUCUGUCUGAAACUCUUUUAGCCCAUGGUGAUGGUCUUUUGUCUUUAUCUGAACUGAAGGAAAAACUGGAUUUGAAUUUUGUUCAAUAAGGAAUUUCAGUUAUUUGGCUUGAAAAUGAGGCUCAAUUUUUGUUCAUAAAUAUUAACUAUGCAGUAAUUAUGUCUUGCUAUAAAUAAUAAUAGUAACUAUUCAAAAAUAAAAUAUGUUUAUUACUAUUCAAUAAUUAUCAAAAACAACCAA
rnacentral:lncRNA from 1 species